CCUGCCCGGUGACUUAAGUUCAACGGCCGCGGUAUCCUAACCGUGCAAAGGUAGCAUAAUCAUUUGCCCAUUAAUUGUGGGCUAGAAUGAAUGGAUUAACGAAAUAAAAGCUGUCUCUAUAAGUCACUUAAAAAUUAAUCUCUAACUGAAGAUUGUUAGAUAUCAUCGAAGGACAAGAAGACCCUAUAGAGCUUAAUCCUUAUAAAAACUAAAAAAUUUUUUACGGGUUUGGUUGGGGCGACCAGGGAAAUAAUAAUCAUCCCUUUUUAACAGAUUUAUAAAUCUUAAUACUGACCCUUAGCAAAGAUCAUAAGACCAAGCUACCUUAGGGAUAACAGGCUAAUCCCACUAAAGAGUCCUUAUCAAUAGUGGGGUUUGGCACCUCGAUGUUGGCUUAGGGAACCUAUGUGGCGCAAAAGUCACAUAAAGAUGGUUUGUUCAACCAAUAAUCCCCUACAUGAGCUGAGUUCAGACCGGCGUAAGCCAGGUUAGUUUCUAUCCUCGAUAAUUUAACCUAUUUAUAGUACGAAAGGACCUAAAUAAGGAUAAUGAUUAUAUCCAAAGAAUAAAUAUAACACACUUUAAAAAUUUUCAUACAUAUAAUA
rnacentral:rRNA from 1 species